ACGUCAAUAGAUAACCCCCAGACGUCAUCAGUGUGCGACUAGCUUCUGGUGACAGGCAAGAAGAAGGAAAGAUGGCUGCAAGGUUACUGCUCCGCUCGGCUGUUAGAGCCGCGACAACCUGCCGGGCUGCACCGGUCCCGGCUCUGACCCGCGGCAUGGCGGCUGGAGGGAUCCCCACUGACGAGGAGCAGGCCACCGGCCUGGAGAAAAUCAUCAUGAAGGCCGCCAAGGAGGGCGCGGACCCCUACAGCAUGAUGAAGCCUAAAGAGUACGCUGGCUCCAAGGCCGAUCCUCACCUCGUUCCCUCCAUCACUAACAAGAGGAUCGUGGGAUGCGUCUGUGAAGAAGACAACACGGCCGUGGUUUGGUUCUGGCUCCACCAGGGCGAUGCCCAGCGCUGCCCGUCCUGUGGGUCCCACUACAAACUGGUGGCCCACCAACUCCCCCACUAACCCCCACACACACACACACACACACACCUCUCUUAACAUAGACAUAUGUCUCUAAUAACACAUGUUACUGGAGACAUAUGUCUCUAAUAACACAUGUUACUGGAGACAUAUGUCUCUAAUAACAUAUGUCUCUAAUAACACAUGUUACUGGAGACAUAUGUCUCUAAUAAAAUAUGUCUCUAAUAACAUAUGUCUCUAAUAACACAUGUUACUGGAGACAUAUGUCUCUAAUAACAUAUGUCUCUAAUAACACAUGUUACUGGAGACAUAUGUCUCUAAUAACAUAGGUCUCUAAUAACACAUGUUACUGGAGACAUAUGUCUCUAAUAACAUAUGUCUCUAAUAACAUAUGUCUCUAAUAACACAUGUUACUGGAGACAUAUGUCUCUAAUAACAUAUGUCUCUAAUAACACAUGUUACUGGAGACAUAUGUCUCUAAUAACAUAUGUCUCUAAUAACACAUGUUACUGGAGACAUAUGUCUCUAAUAACAUAUGUCUCUAAUAACACAUGUUACUGGAGACAUAUGUCUCUAAUAACAUAUGUCUCUAAUAACACAUGUUACUGGAGACAUGUCUCUAAUAACACAUGUUACUGGAGACAUAUGUCUCUAAUAACACAUGUUACUGGAGACAUGUCUCUAAUAACACAUGUUACUGGAGACAUAUGUCUCUAAUAACACAUGUUAAUGGAGACACAUGUCUCUAAUAACACAUGUUACUGGAGACAUGUCUCUAAUAACACAUGUUACUGGAGACAUAUGUCUCUAAUAACACAUGUUAAUGGAGACACAUGUCUCUAAUAACACAUGUUACUGGAGACGUAUGUCUCUAAUAACACGUUACUGGAGACAUAUGUCUCUAAUAACAUGUUACUGGAGACAUGUCUCUAAUAACACGUUACUGGAGACAUAUGUCUCUAAUAACAUGUUACUGGAGACAUGUCUCUAACAACACGUUACUGGAGACAUAUGUCUCUAAUAACAUGUUACUGGAGACACAUGUCUCUAAUAACACGUUACUGGAGACAUAUGUCUCUAAUAACACAUGUUACUGGAGACGUAUGACUCUAAUAACAUGUCUCUAAUAACACAUGUUACU